ACCGAUAGCGAACAAGUACCGUGAGGGAAAGUUGAAAAGGACUUUGAAGAGAGAGUUCAAGAGUACGUGAAACCGUUCAGGGGUAAACCUGAGAAACCCAAAAGAUCGAAUGGGGAGAUUCACCGUCAGCGACGUCGGCUUCUCGGAGGUUCGUGAUGCCGGGGACCUCGGUCUCGCGGUACGCGUCCUCUGCGUUUCCUUUAUGCCCGGCGGCGUCGGCGUGCACUUCUCCCCUAGUAGAACGUCGCGACCCGUUGGGUGUCGGUCUACGGCCCGAGCGGUUGACUGUCUCGUCGCCUCACGGCGCACGGAACAGACCCUCGGUUGCCCGGCCGGCUGCCCGGCGGUACUCGCACGGUAUCGGGCCGCUAAAUUCGAACAGCGUCAGGCCCGCCGCAAGCGCCGAUUAGUCUCUCGUCGGUAACGGACCUAGUGCCGUCCGCGGAGCUGAUCCGCUGUUGGUCGGCGGUGUCCUCUGACUGGCCAAUUGCAAACGAUACCGGUCGGCGACGCUACUGCUUUGGGUACUCUCAGGACCC
rnacentral:rRNA from 1 species